UACGUAGGGGGCAAGCGUUGUCCGGAUUUAUUGGGCGUAAAGAGCGUGUAGGCGGCUAGAUAGGUCCGUUGUGAAAACUCGAGGCUCAACCUCGAGACGUCGAUGGAAACCAUCUGGCUAGAGUCCGGAAGAGGAGAGUGGAAUUCAUGGUGUAGCAGUGAAAUGCGUAGAGAUCAUGAGGAAGACCAGUGGCGAAGGCGGGUCUCUGGACAGUUCCUGACACUGAGACACGAAGGCCAGGGGAGCAAACGGG
rnacentral:rRNA from 1 species